rnacentral:tRNA from 1 species
CGCGGCCUGGGCCGGGAGGCGGGCGAGCCCUCGGUGCUCGCCGCCGCGGCCCACCUCGACGGCGUCCGGGCCGCCGGCCGCGGC